AUUGAACGCUGGCGGCAGGCCUAACACAUGCAAGUCGAACGAGUGGCGGACGGGUGAGUAAUGUCUGUGAAACUGCCUGAUGGAGGGGGAUAACUACUGGAACCGGUAGCUAAUCCCGCAUACCAUCGGAUUUGCCCAGAUGGGCUUAGCUAUUAGGUGGGGUAAAGGCUCACCUAGGCCACGGUCCCUAGCUGGUCUGAGAGGAUGACGAGCCACACUGGAACUGAGACACGGUCCAACCUCCUACGGGAGGCAGCGGUGGGGAAUAUUGCACAAUGGGCGCAAGCCGGAUGAAGCCAUGCCGCGUGGAUGAAGAAGUCCUUCGGGUUGUAAAGUACUUUCAGCGGGGAGGCGUUACCCGCAGAAGAAGCACCGGCUAACUCCGUGCCAGCAGCCGCGGUAAUUC
rnacentral:rRNA from 1 species